ensembl:rRNA 5S_rRNA 5S ribosomal RNA
UUCUAUGGCCAUACCACCCAGAAUGUGCCCGAUCUUGUCUGAUCUCGGAAGCAAAGCAGGGUCGGGCCUGGUUAGUACUUGGAUGGGAGAAAUUCUGAGUCCCUCAAGAGUCCGUUAAAG